GAGAUGACAUCUGUGACAUAUAAAGAGAAA
rnacentral:piRNA from 1 species